rnacentral:lncRNA from 1 species
UGCAUUGACUUAAUUUUUACCUAGAGAAAAUGUCCAUGUUAUAGAUCUUUGUUAAUUAUUCCCACAUAAUGUGACAUGGUGGCUAUUGAAAUUUACAUGUUGUGACAGAUUCGUUCCCCUGAGGCACUGAAAAAUUAGAAACACAAAAGCAAGCCAUGAAUUUCAUCCAUGAAAUGGUUCAAAAAUAGUUUGAAGUCUAGGUUGGAACACUUGGAUCACAACUCAAAGUUCCCAUUUAAAUGGUUCAAGCACCUGAUGAAGUUCUUUGUUGACCAUGAUUCGUGUGUCAUCGUAAAUAAACCCUUGGACAUUCUUUUCAGUGGAAUAGUAGGCGCAAGAGAGUUGCCUUUAUUGAAGUUUGCACUGCAACAGAUGGGCCUUCUUCACUGAGUGUGGGCGAACUUAUCGACGAAGUAAGAAGCAAGUAAAAAUGAUUAUAGCUUCUUGUUCGUGCUGUCAAGGGCUGCCUAUUUAUUCUUUGCCUUGUAGAGGCUAGAAUUUCAUUCUCGCAAAAGGACUUUGAUGUAUUUAUAUUCUAAUUUCCUUCAUAAUAUUUGCAAUGGAGAAACAAAAUUUCCAACGUCUAUAUUUUCGAGUUUUCUAUAUCAAUUUUCAUAAAUCUGCAUUCGUCCUUAUUGUAUGUUAGG